UACGGAGGGAGCUAGCGUUGUUCGGAAUUACUGGGCGUAAAGCGCGCGUAGGCGGCUUUGUAAGUUAGAGGUGAAAGCCCGGGGCUCAACCCCGGAAUUGCCUUUAAGACUGCAUCGCUUGAAUCCGGGAGAGGUGAGUGGAAUUCCGAGUGUAGAGGUGAAGGUCGUAGAUAUUCGGAAGAACACCAGUGGCGAAGGCGGCUCACUGGACCGGCAUUGACGCUGAGGUGCGAAAGCGUGGGGAGCAAACAGG
rnacentral:rRNA from 1 species